rnacentral:tRNA from 1 species
CAGAAGAUAGUUUAAUAAAAUUUUAAUUUUGGAGAUUAAAGAUGAGAAAAUUUUCUUUCUUCUGA